UUAGGGCAUACCUAAAAUCCUUUCGUCAUGCAGUCAAAAUCAAAAUUCGGAAAAACACAUCCAACAUUUUUUUAACAAAGCGGAGUUUGUGAUAUAUUAACAAGUAAAAGAAAAUAUUUUGUGAAACGAUAUUCAAAUUUUUAUUCAUAAAGUGACAAUAAUAAAUAUAGAAAAAAAACAAUGACAUAAAAACUGUUGGAAUUUUUUAAAUCUAAUAAGAACUCUAUAUUUUUUUUCUAUUGAAUUUAUAUGAAAAAACAACACGGAAUGCUCAGGGAGUGGUAUACGACAUCUUACGGUUAAUAGAGCUCUAGUUCCUCAAUUGGUGUAGGUAUAGGCAAAGUGUGCGUGAAUUAAACGUUUGUCAGAAUUUAAGACCAAGGAAUUUUUUGUAUCCGACGGCAAUUGAUGGAAACCUUGUAGUCCUGUUUUACCUCUUCUCAUCCGCAUGAAAAAACCUGGUCAACAGGUUAAAUUGGAAAAUAAAUGCUGUCAAAAAGUGUUUUUUUUUCUUGUUUUGUUGGUUUCGGCAGCUUAAUGUCGGGAAAAAGUGAGGUCACACGUUCUGAACAAAAUGAAGGGCAGAAAGAACCUAUAAUGAAGUAAGCGAUUAACUGCCAGACCUUCUACACAAAACGGUCUUUUGUUUCACUUUGCGCUGUGAAUUUGUUGAUUUUAACGCCGACUUUUAUCCUGGAGCCAGAGAUACGUACAUAUAUACAUAUGUGUGUGUGUACAAAAAAAUGACUGUAUAAACAAGAAAGAUAUAAAACCUACCAAAUGCGGCAAUCAAAAUUCCUUGAAUUUAACAUGAAGACAAAUGUGAUGAUUUGAAAAGGACAUAGGGGAGGAAGGGGAUCGUACAUGCGAAUAUAUGAUUACUACACGUGUAAAGGAAACGGUUAAGGGAGGCAAUCUCAUGUAAUUGUUUUGUUAUUGGUAAUUGAAAGGCUAUUUAAAAUGUUUCCACGUAGUAAAGAGACCAGUUUUGUGUAACGUGCAUAAUAAUCACCAUAACUAUCAUUGUGUACUUAGAUUAGUGAGUUUCAGACGUCGGAAAUCGCAAUGUUAUUGGCAAAAUAUACAUUUAACGACUCUUAGUUUUUGGAAAAAUGGUGUCCAAAAAUAUGGAACAAGGUUCAGAACAACCUGGAACAAUACUCAAAAAAUCAAUUUUCGAGAAAGGGAGGGCUUGGUCAAAAAUAGUUUUCGGGUCUAAGACCCCCAUUUUGGGUGAUUUUAAAAAAAAACCUUUGGAACAAUGUGAAACAAACUGGAACACCCUUCCAAAAUAGGAGAAUCAAAAAAGGGGGGUUUACUUCACGCACUCACUACAUACCCCCUUUUUUAAAAAAAAUGUUCAUUUCAUCUAACCGUCGAUUUCACUAAUGGGUAUUUCGAUCCACAUUCAUCACGUUAAGAGUCGGGGCGAAUACAUGCAGAAUAGUUCGAGUUGUUCCCAUUUUAAAUUUUAAUGUAUUUUAUAAUUUUCGUAUCUCCCAAACAACUUUAAGAUAUCCAGAAUCAGUCCAAAUGACCAACAAAUACUUUGUUUAUACUUUUUUGUUUUAAAUAUGUAGUAAAUAAAUAAAUAAAAAUAAAACCAAACUAAUA